UUAUCGGAGAGUUUGAUCCUGGCUCAGGACGAACGCUGGCGGCGUGCCUAAUACAUGCAAGUCGAGCGGACAGAUGGGAGCUUGCUCCCUGAUGUUAGCGGCGGACGGGUGAGUAACACGUGGGUAACCCGCCUGUAAGACUGGGAUAACUCCGGGAAACCGGGGCUAAUACCGGAUGCUUGUUUGAACCGCAUGGUUCAAACAUAAAAGGUGGCUUCGGCUACCACUUACAGAUGGACCCGCGGCGCAUUAGCUAGUUGGUGAGGUAAUGGCUCACCAAGGCAACGAUGCGUAGCCGACCUGAGAGGGUGAUCGGCCACA
rnacentral:rRNA from 1 species